rnacentral:rRNA from 1 species
CAGUAGCCGCGGUAAUACGUAGGUGGCAAGCGUUGUCCGGAAUUAUUGGGCGUAAAGGGCUCGCAGGCGGUUUCUUAAGUCUGAUGUGAAAGCCCCCGGCUCAACCGGGGAGGGUCAUUGGAAACUGGGAAACUUGAGUGCAGAAGAGGAGAGUGGAAUUCCACGUGUAGCGGUGAAAUGCGUAGAGAUGUGGAGGAACACCAGUGGCGAAGGCGACUCUCUGGUCUGUAACUGACGCUGAGGAGCGAAAGCGUGGGGAGCGAACAGGAUUAGAUACCCGUGUAGUCCCUGUCUCUUAUAA